GAUGAACGCUGGCGGCAUGCCUAAUACAUGCAAGUUGAACGAGAGGAAGGAAAGCUUGCUUUCCUGAAUCUAGUGGCGAACGGGUGAGUAACACGUAGGUAACCUGCCCAUGUGCCCGGGAUAACUUCUGGAAACGGAUGCUAAAACCGGAUAGGUAGCAGACAAGCAUUUGACUGCUAUUAAAGUGGCCUUGGCCAUGAACAUGGAUGGACCUGCGGUGCAUUAGCUAGUUGGUGAGGUAACGGCCCACCAAGGCGACGAUGCAUAGCCGGCCUGAGAGGGCGGACGGCCACAUUGGGACUGAGACACGGCCCAAACUCCUACGGGAGGCAGCAGUAGGGAAUUUUCGUCAAUGGGGGGAACCCUGAACGAGCAAUGCCGCGUGAGUGAGGAAGGUCUUCGGAUCGUAAAGCUCUGUUGUAAGAGAAAAACGGCACUCAUAGGGAAUGAUGAGUGAGUGAUGGUAUCUUACCAGAAAGUCACGGCUAACUACGUGCCAGCCGCCGCCGUAACAC
rnacentral:rRNA from 1 species